rnacentral:misc_RNA from 1 species
UGUUGGUGCGUGUCGUCGUGCGUGUGUGAGUGACGAUUACGAGCUGCGGCCCCACCCCCGCAUCUGAACACCUCUUCUCCUCCCCUCCGCACGCCCAAAAUCCUCCGCCACUUUGGUGACUGCGUUUUCGUGCUUCCUUCGCCACGCACACACGCACACACGCACACACACAUAUAUAUGCAAUCGUUCAAGGUACGUAGACGGCCAACGCGAGUUCAUCAGUUGAAGUAUACAGCUUCUUAACUCGCAGUUUUCGAGGCCACAGUCCGGUGCGGCAGCCGCAGUGUGCAUGUGCCUGCGUAUACAGAUACGCCCCCCCCUCUUGGCCUCCACCCCCCCUACCCCGACCACCACCACCACCACCACCUCCCAUACUACAGGCUCGCUCGCGCUCUCCUCCGCCUCUUCGCUCACAGGAUGCCGCCUCGGCCUUUGGAUCCCACGCCCGCUGCACCCUCCGCAGCGACGUCCACCCCGUCCACGGUGUUAACGCUACAGCGACUCCUCGACACGCAGCAAGCCACCGCCAUUCUUCCAGGUUUUCUGUACUUGGCGUCUACGGGCGAAUGCCUCUCCUCCUCCCUCGCUGGCAGCGUGGACUCCGCCGAGACGGCAGCAGGCGCAUCAGCGCCGGUGGACUCGAAGGUGCCGUCGACAUCGGCAGCGACGGCGAUGUCCGUGGCCAUGGAGGCCAUUCAUGACUUCUACUUUAAGGAGAACUUCUUCGCCAGUGGCGUGGCGGGGGCCUGCCGCAAAGGUAGCAGCACGCGCACCAUCCCGACCGCCAGGGCGGCCGUGGGCCAGGACGCCGUCUUUGUGUCGUUGCGAGGCAUCCCGCCCUACCUCUACCGCCCCUUCUUCGCCGACUUUGGUCCGCUGGACAUGAGCUGCUGCGUGCACUUCGCGCGGCGCCUCUGUGAGCUGCUGCGGGCGGUGACGGGAUUCGACGUGCGCGCCUCCCCCGCAUCCGCUGCUGCUGCAGGAACCUUUAGCAAUGGCACGAACUCGGGGGCCGCUGCCCCUGCCCACAGAAAGCGGGGCGGAAGAGGACAGCCCGCAUCGGCGCCGUCUUGCUCCCCGAGCUCCGCCUCGGCGGUCUCCACGGUAUCCUCCUCCGGUUGCCCUCUGGGGGCCACGCUGCCAGUGGUGGUGUGCGCCAGCCUCGACGCGCAGGAGCGCGUGAACACGGCGUGCCUUGUCGGCGCCUUUUGCGUGUUGUGCCUCGGCUGGUCGGCCGUGGCGACGUGGUAUCGCGGCUUCGUCGACAUCUACCCCGGCUUUCUCGCCUACCGCGACGCGAGCCAAGGCGUGUCGAACUACCCUCUCUCCUUGAUUGACGUGUGGGCCGGGCUCGAGCAGGGUGUGGCCCUCGGGCUCGUCAACGUGCACACGUUCGACAUCCCAGCCUUCCUGGAAGGCAAGCAGUACGACUACAGCUGGGUGGUGCCUCGUCGAUUCCUGGCCAUGAGCUCUCCGCAAGACGACAAGUCCGCGCGCACCGCUGAGGUGUUCGCGCGGCGGCUGCGCCCGCUAGGUGUGCGGCUUGUGGUACGUCUAAAUGAUAACCUCUACAACCCGUCGCCUCUGCUGCGGCUGGGCAUAAGGCACGUUGAUCUGCCAUACGCCGACGGCAGCGUGCCGUGCGACGCGAUGCUGCUGCGAUUCCUGCAGGCGGUAGAGGAGCACUUCGGUGAAUCAGUCGCGCCGGUCUCGCUGCAAGAGUGGUGGUCGGUGCCAUCGUCGUCCGCCGCGACGGCGCGAGCGGGCAGCGCAUCCACGAAAGCUUCCUCAGCUCGUGCUAGUCACCGGAGGCCGGCGCUGCAGCCAUGCUCACUCAUGCACUCAGGCACGUGUCGCGGUAUGCCGGAGGCGUGGACGGCAGUCCCUCCAUCGGCGCCGCCCUCACACGCUCGGCGCCCGGACUCCGCCCACGCGAACAGAACGCAGUGCCACGACACCUGCACCUUGGCGCCAGGUGACAAGGGUGCUGUAGCGGUGCACUGUCUCGCUGGCCUGGGUCGCACAGGCACCAUGCUCGCUGUAUACAUGAUGCGUCACUACGGCUUCACCGCGCGCGCCGUGAUUGGGUGGAUGCGGCUUUGCCGGCCAGGUAGCAUCACCGGCAUUCAGCAGCAGUACCUUGACGCGAUGGAGCGACGUCUGCGGCCGCCGCCGCACAUGCUGGCUGCACUGCAGCUGAACUCGGCAGCCAAGCUGUACGGCGCUGUCGGCGGAGGGAGGCGAUUCGAGCUCCCGUCGCGACGCACACGCUCGUCAUCCUUGUCCGUCAUCUCCUCCACGUCCGCACUGCCAAACGCGGCAGCCGCCGCGCAGACAACGCUCGGAAGGGACGGAGCGGUGGCGAUGGGCAGAAACCAGCUCGACGCUUCACCGCAGCCUCCCCUGGGAAAGGCGACAACGGGCUGCAUGCGCUCGACCGCUGCUGUGACCGCCUUUCAGACGCACGGCAGCGUCGUCGCGGAUGCGCAGCCGGCGACGGCGACGGCGACGAGUAUUGUGGUCGGACACAUUAGGCGCGAUGAUAGUGGCCGCUCGAGCGCGAUGGCUGCUCGAGCAGCGUCGGAUGUCGCCAGAGACAUCGGCACGUUUACGGGCCUGGCAGCGUGGACCGAUCUCACGGGACUGCGUGGGGCGCAGCAACAGCGGCAGCAGCUGCUGAUGCGCCGCUUCAGCAACAGCAGCACCGCCACCCUUUCUCUCAGCACCAUCCAGGAAGGUGGGGAAGCGCUCGAUGUAGUUGCGCGUAUGCCCGUCCUUGGAGACAACAGUCCGCAGAACAGGAGCGCGGCCACGGCGUCACUGAAGCGCGGCUCUGCCACUGCCGCCGCCAGCUACCACAAGACUUCCAUCCACCCGUCGCCUCGCGUGGAUGACUACAAGUACGCCUCGACGUACUUCGUGGCGAUGGAGCGGGUGGGUGAACUGCCGCGCGUAUACCCUUGGUCUACCUCCUCCGCUGCCGCCUCCGCUGCCAGAGGUGAGCCAGGGGGAGCCCACGGCGGUGGUCCGCGACCUGCUACCGCCAACACCUAUGAUGAAACGGCGCCGCGAGGGACGCGCCAUCUCGGCCGUCCCCGCUUAAGCGAAUGCAGCAUCGGAAGUGAUGCAAGCCGAGCGAAGGAGACUCGCACAGCGCCUGCGUCGGCGGACAGCUGCCUCCGCCCCCGCAAAGGUCUCACCAGCGCGCUGCAGCGACGGCGGCCCUACACGGCGGCGGCAGCGGUAAGCGUAGGGCCUCAGCUGCACGCGAAGCGAUAUCCGACCCAUUAUGAGCGCGGCGGUGCCGCCGACCACAGUGAGACAGGCACCCACGCACCAGGCGGCACGCCGCCGUGUUCUGACCUCUCCGAAAAGACGCAACAGUCUCCUCGCCGCCGCCAGGCAGCAACGCGCACGCGAGUUAGAUGGGAUGACAAGGGCGCUCAUCGCGCAAACCUCGACGAUGCAAGGGCUGGCGACACCGCAGCUGCAGAUCCCUGCGUUGACGUCAAGCUACAAACGCCACAUCCACCAUCGGCGCCGAUGCGUUCAUCUCUCCCGUGGAGAGAUGGCGGUGUGACAGAGCUGGAGGAUGGGCCGCGGUCGCCGCUGGUGCUGAGUCGCUCAUCACUGGCAAUCCCUGCAACGUCGCUGCCCAUGUGGGCCCGUCCUAUGCUUCGCACAUGAGCCAGGAAAGGCGCAUCAACCACAGCAGCCAGAUGCCCCCUCCCGUUGCACAGACGUGCAGGCAUCCCUUGCGGCCGCUUUUUGUGGUAGCGGAUUUCGAGUGGGUGUGAGUGGCGGAGAGCGGCAUGGAUAGGGGCACUCUCCUGUCCCCGACCUCCGCCCUCCUUCCUUUGGGCCCCACCACCACCACCACCGCCGCCCGCCCCCCCCCACCGAGGGAAAGAGGAGGGGCGACGCGGGUGUGCACGUGUUCCGCUGUCUGCGCGAGCGCCCGCACGUGUCAUUCCGCAUCUCCAUGCAGGGCUGCUGGCCGCAGCUGCACCCCCUCCCCCUCCCUUGCUUUCCUUUUGAGCCUCACAGACACAUGUAUAUUAGUAGCCUCUCCUCCCUUUUCGGGCGGCGUCACUCACACGCGCGCGUGUAUGGUAUGUAUGUAAGUAAUCGCAAUCUCUCUCGUCCCCGCCGCCGUUGGCAGCGGUUGUUUUUCUCGCUUCGUUCCGGAGGGUGUGUGGGGAGGGGCGUCUCUGAAUCAUCAUCGCGCGAGUGUGCCGGUGCGUGCGUCGCUCACUCCCGUCUCUAUCUCUGCCUCUCUCGCGUCUUUGCUUCUCCUGCUUGUCCCCAAGCCCCCUCCUCAUCCUCCGCCUCCUCCACGGCGUCUUCCUUGUGUGUGCGUGUGUGUGCGUGUGCACACGUUCUCUUGUUUUCUUUCUGUGCCCGUUCGUGUAAAUCGCAUCCCCCCUCUCAUGCCACGAAAACGUGCGUAUGUGCGGUUAUUUGUUGUCCGCAUACUCCUUCCCUUACCUCCUCUGCCUCUUCUGCUCCUCUCCAGCUACGUCUCUGGCAUCGUGUGCUCUCUCUCUCUCCCUCUCUCUGCCCCGCAGCGUAUGCGUCUCCGUGAAUGUGUGAGGCUUGUGCCUCUGCGUACCUCGCCACACGCACACGCGCAUACCACACGGACCUCUACAAGAACGGCGUGCAGAGAGAGGGAGAACACGAGGAGGCAGAGAGUGGGUGUAGCGCCCCCACCUACUCGCCCGCCCGCCCUUUAUCCUUUUCGCACUGAUACUUACCAUAAGGAUGUGG